GAUUAAAACAUAAAUUCAAUUAACUUUACCCUAGCCUUCUCUCUCCUUUUAACUUUACCCUAGCCUCCUCUCUCCUUUUUUAUUUAGAUCUAAGCAAAGCAAACUUGUCCUCAGAGCCGUCUCCCGGAUUAGCCACCAUCUCCACUAUCAAACUCCACAGCCACCACACCUUCUUCUUCUCCUUUGCCGCCACCCAUUAUUCCCACAUUUCCUCCUCCGUCUUCUCCCUCUACACCCUCUGUUCUUCAUCUAUCUCCACCCACUCUAUCUACGCCGGGAUCUUCGCCGCCUCUUCCUAAGCCGUCUCCACCCGCUCCAACUCAGCCGUCUCCACCGGCUCCAACUACACUGGGAUCUCCUACCGCACCUAUCGCUCCUCCUGGAUCCCCUACUCUAAACCCUCCAUCAUCCUCAGGACCACCGUCCAAUCCCUCAAGUGGCGGCAGCGGAGGGCCUUCUCGAACUCCAUCUUCGCCGUCUCCGCCGUGCCGUCUUCUUCUUCCGAUGGAUUAUCAGCUUGUAAGAAGAAACGAAGAAGAGACGAAGAAGAUGUUUACUAUGUUCCUCCUCCACCUCCUUCUGUCCCAAAGCCGGAGGACCAUACGGUGGACAACAGCAACAAUGGCGGCAACAAAACGCAACACCACCGUCAGAUCAUGUCGUGACGUUACUAUCACCGCCGUACAUCAUAUCAGGUUCUAUAUUGGUACGCGGAGAGAUUUCUAAAGAGUACUCUUGUUUAAGUGAGGUGUGGGCUUUGUUUUCUCCGGUGAAUCAAGGUUAGAGUUAGUCUACUUCUCCCAGCAACCAUCUGCGAAGAAAUCAUCACCAAUUAUUGAAGGCCUGAUGUAGUAAAGGUAGGAGUUUUCACGGGGAUUGAAAAUCAUGGGGGAGACGGUGGUGGCAAACGUCUCUAGCGUCGAUGUUAGAGUAGAGACGAUGAGGUUUCCCCUAGUUCUUUCUAGAUCUCUCUUCAAAUCUCUAAUUACAUCUUAGUGUGUUAAUUUUUAGUAUUAACAGUUUGGUUAGAUGUAAUUAGCUUGUUGUAUUUGGGCCUUCGUUUGCACUUUUCAAACCCAUUUGGGCUUUAAUGGAAAAAGUGGUAAAAACAUGUUCACGUUAAACAUAGAAACGCAGCGUACUAAAAAAGAGGGACACGUGUUGUUCUAUGGUUAAACUA